GCGCGAGGGUGUUUGUUCUUCUGUUCUUGCCGAAACUGAAACUGAAACGCUGUGCAUGCCAAACUUCAGAAAGCAUGUACGCGGAGAACACCAGUACAUAUUCCAAGAACAGGGGUAAAGCACGGUAUGCUCGGCCAGAAGAAAUGCCCAACAAGAUCAAGGGCCUCAAGGGCAGGGUAAGGCGGGACAAACAGGGAAGCAAGGAUAGCUAUUAAAUAGUUUUUGCAGCAAAUUAAACGGGGAAGGAAGGAUAGCGGGACAAACGGGGUUGCAAACGAGGGAGAGGGGCGGAUUUUGUACUACGGCGAGUGGCUUCUCUUGCGAUCGUCAUGGCUGAUAUGGGGAUUGAAGGGGGUGGCUAGCGUUGGAUUCAUAGGGAAACUUUUCACUCUAGGGGCAGAGCAGUUGCUUGGAUUUUUGCUAUAAGAGUUGCAGUUGCUUAGUUUUGUUGGGGCAGUUCCUUGGAUUUAUUUUGAAUAGUUUUUGCAUUUGUGGUUUUUGUAAUGCAGUUGCUUGGUUUUGCUAGCGCAAUUGCUUGGAUUUUUUUCUAGAACUGUUUUGCAUUUUGUGUUUUUUUGUAAUUGCAUUGCUUGGUUAUUGCUAGAACAGAGAAGACACCCGGAGGGGAGGGGGUGGGUGUUAGAUAGUUAUCAAUAUCAUACAUUUUUCCUCUGCGUAAAGUAGAUAAUCUAAGUAGUAAUGCUACCACGGUUGCUUGGUUUUGCUAGGACAGUUGCUUGGAUUUGUGCCAGAACAGUUUUGCAUCUGUGUUUUUGCUAGGUGGAGGGCGGCAAGGUGUGUGAUAGGGCGUGUAGCGGGAAGAUGAAGGUGGUGGGCGGCGAGGCAAGAGAGAGGAAGCGUGUGGGGGUGGACGAAGGUGGAGGGCACUGCCCAAGUUAUGAUUGGAGUUGCACAAUAUGUCGGAAGGAGUUGCAUAGGAGUGGAUCGGAAGUGGCUCAUUUUUCCUUUUUUGUUUGUCGAGUGGAUUUGCCCAAUAUUUUUUAUAAGUAUUUAGGUGCUCUUCUUGAUUGGAUAGGUUGGUUCGGACUAGUGUUCUUUUUGCCCUGCUAUUCUUGGUUGCAUAUGUUAGUUAAGACUUUCCUUUGGAUCCUGCACAUGGCCACAUAGGUCUUCCAUUUGUUUUUUGCCUGCGGUCUUCGGCUGCAUUUGAUGAAUACGUAGAACAUCAUGUGAUUUCAGAAAAAACUAUCACACAACAAAAGCAACAAAAACCACGGAAAAAGAUACCAUAGUUGCCCUACGUAGUUUGCAUAUUUUUUAUGCACAAUGCAUGAAAGAUAACAUAGUUGCACACAAUUAAUCAUACAGUUGCCUAAAACCAUGUAUCUCAUUGCCCAAUCCUCAUGAACAGAAACAUUACCAAAACCACGAUUUUAUCAAUAUCUAAAGGUUU